UGAGUAACCUGCCCUUAACUCUGGGAUAAGCCUGGGAAACUGGGUCUAAUACCGGAUAUGACUCCUCAUCGCAUGGGUGGGGGGUGGAAAGCUUUAUUGUGGUUUUGGAUGGACUCGCGGCCUAUCAGCCUGUUGGUGAGGUAAUGGCUCACCAAGGCGACGACGGGUAGCCGGCUGAGAGGGUGACCGGCCACACGUGGGACUGAGACACGGCCCAGACCUCCGUACGGGGAGGCAG
rnacentral:rRNA from 1 species